AGCUUCUGGGGGGCGGGACAGAAUGGGGGUAUCGUGCUGAGGACGGGGUUGCUGGCCAGUUGCACGUUGGCCCGGCCCGUCCCCUAGUUUCUGACCACAAGUCUUCCUUCUACCCUCAGGUGAAGGCUGUGCUAUAAAUCUUUCGUUGGGAAGCUGCUGCUUGACAGGCUUUGUCUCUCUGUGACUGGGGCAAGACAUCUACCAGAAGUUUUCUCUGAUUAGGAAGACCCUCCAGGAGGAGGAGUGGAUUAGACCUUUCCAAGAGAAAGCUGAGGCCAGCCGAGGUGGGCAGUCCUCACUCCUCCAAAAGCCCCUAGGAGUCCUCAUUUCAAAGGAAGAGUCUGUGUGCCCUGGGGCUGAUUUCCACCUUCAGUUCUCACUCCUGCAGCCUCUCCUGCUCUUCCUGAGAGAAGCAUCGCCUCCUGCAAGAGGUCAGUGAAUCCUUUUGGGGGCUGUCUAAAAGAACCACUCACAGCUCCUAGAAGGAGGAGCUGUAGCCCUUUAAGGAGUUCGCCGGGAUGGAUUCAGAGAUGAGUUUAAAAAUGCCAACUCACAGAGCGCGCUGGAUUCUGGGAACGAGGUGUCAGACCGAGAACUACAUUGACCAGUAUGCAUCGCAAACACACACGCCUCGACUUCCUUCUGCUCUUUAGGACUCGGGUUUGACGUACCGCCCCUCUGAGCUAGUAGCCUAGACGCAGGGCUAAGCCACACCUUUUUACCUAUUGGCCAGCUCUCGAGUUGGUGGGCGUGGCUUAGCUCUACUCCACUCGGCAAAGGGGUGGCCUCCUUGCCAAUCAGAGCUAAGACGGCCAGGGAGGCGGGACCAAGGCGAAGCGCUGGCGCCCCCGAGCGGGUGUAGUCACGCUGCCCAGCAGUGGGCGGUGAUUGGCCCUGGGCGGUGCAAUCGCAGUUUGUGCGUCACGACGCCGCCAGCUGAUCGGAGACUGGAGCCGGUGUGUGCUGGGCGCUGGGAAGAGACAGCGCCGCCGGCCGUGGGGAUCGGACGCACUGAUUUGCUCCCCUACCCUCAGCACCCCCCCACCCAGCACCAGGAACCUGUGCCUCCCACAUCCUCACCUGGCUGAGCCGCAGUAGUUCUUCAGUGGCAAGCUUUAUGUCCUGACCCAGCUAAAGCUGCCAGUUGAAGAACUGUUGCCCUCUGCCCCUGGCUUCGAGGAGGAGGAAGAGGAGAAGGAGCUGCUUUCCCCCUCCUCUGGAAGGUGACAGAACUGGGGCUGGGAAGGUCUGAACAGCGAGAGUGAUGAUACCUUUUGGGGAAGGGAACCCUAUUCAGUUGGAGAACCUUGCCCCAGAUUGACCCAGCAAGAGAGAAAGUUUCAGAUCAGAGACCCUGGCUGAAUUGAGGAAUAGAGGGCUCUGAGUACCCAAGUUUAGUUGGUCUUUGACAGUGGGAAGAAGUGGAGUAAAGAAAACCCUGCCUUCCCCUUUAUGCAGGAAGGAUCCCCUUUCCUGAUCCUCCUUCCUUCCUUGCCCCUCAUUCCUUCCUACUGGCCUUUCCAAGUUAAAAAGUAAGUUUCUUCUUCAGGGAAAAGGUCAUACUGAGUUGCCCAUCUGAGUAGUCAUCCCCCUGCUCUUACCUGUUCCCUGUAUUUCCUUAGUCUGGCCCAGACUCUAAAUUCAGGGCUACUCACCUCCACAUGGGACCCUUAGGCCUCCUCUCUCAGUUUCUCCACCUGUGAAAUGGGGAAUCACACAAUUGAGCGUGCAUGAAGGAAUCAGAAGCCCACUUGUGUGGACUCAGAGCCUGAGCUGUCCUCUGCUGUGGGUGGGAACAGAACAGCUUUUCACAUAAGCUGUUGCCCUUCCCCCACCCCUGACCAGAACCCGUGGAGCUGGGGCUGGAGGUUGAGGGGAGGGACUAGGGUUAGACCAAUGCCAGGAGCUGCUGGGAACUCAGUCUUGGCAUUGACUUCCCACCAAGCAAAGGUGGCUCAGGCUUCCCCUGCCUCCCAGAGCAGGACCACAGCCCUGAUGGGUUUUCAGCUACCACUGCUGACUUCCCCCACUUACUCUUCAAGGAUAGGGUGUGAGAUUCAGCUCAGGCCUGUGCAGGCAGGAAAUUCUCCUCUCCAGCAACCAGAAGAGAUGGGUUAUGAGAUGUGACCGCUUUAGGGGCAUCAGACAGAAUAAACCUGCCACCCCCAGCUCCUGAUCUAAUCUCACCCUUGGGCUCAUGUUCUGGUGUGGUUCAGCCUUGGCCCAGUCUCUCUGCCUGAAGGUAAUCAAGUUCAGGGGUUAUUGGAAGCUGUUUUUUCUGUUUGGGAGCAGGAGUUGUGCAGGUAACUGGGUCCUGUUCUCCACUUUUGAGGAACAGUUUUAGGAGAGAGUAGCUCAUUGAACCCACCCUCUGCAGCCUGAGCUGGAUGUGAGUGGACUGCAAUAGAGGAGGGUGGGUAGACUUGAGUCCACUCACAGGCUGCAACAAAGGUUGCUCUGUCCCUGGACAUUGCUUCCAUCCUUUCUUCCCCUCCUCGCUUCACGGGUCACAGUGUCUUCAUCCAGCCUUGGGUACAUGGCUCUGCCAUCCUCACCCAUCAUGGAGCAGAAAUGAGGAAAAAAAGCCUGGAAACACAGAGGCAGACAGAAGACCAGUGAAGGACCAGGCCUGGAGCGCAUAGGGCCCUGUCUGGACAUCCUGCAGAGGGGGGCCCAUAGGGGCCAGGAGCACCCCCAGGAGGAGGGAGGACAGCCACCCUCCAUCGAGGACAAGCUUCCAGCCGUCUACUUCAUUCUCCAUUGCUCGCCAGUCUUUCUGCCUCCCUCAGAGAUGUGGGACCAUGUGGAAGUGUACUUCGCUUCAUCCUCCUGCUUCCACCUCUCCUCACCAUGUAAUUUGUCUAUAAGCACCCUAGAGGAGCAAGAGCCAGCUGUGAAAGGACACAUGCAGAAAAUUCAUGAAAGAAAUCCCGAUAGAUAAAACCAUGGGGAAAGGUGUGCUUUUUUAGUAAUUAAAGAAAGGCUGCUAUAGCUGGAAGCAUUUUUCCUGUAGCAAACUAGAAGAGAAAAAAUAAGAGCCAGUUAUUGACAAAGGAGUACUAACACUCUCAUACGUUGCACACAGGUAUACAAAUGGGUAGUCUUACUGAUGUCAGUUUGGUAAUGUGUGCCAAACAUCCUAAAAGUUUCAUGGCCUUUGAUCUAGUAAUUCUACAUUUGGGAAUGUAUCCUAAGAAUAUAAUUAAAGAUUAGUUAUAAGAUGUUCAUCCCAGCAAUGCAGUAGGAAAAAUUGAGAACCAACUGUCCGGUUGGGAAUUCAUUUCUUUUUCUGCUGUAAUGAAAAUUUGCAAGAGGGGGUUGCUUGAGUAAAUUAUUAUGUAUCCACCCAGAUGGUGGAACACUGCACAGCCAUUAAAAGUCAUGUAGGAGAGCAUUUGACUGGAAAGAAAAAUGCUCUCUGAAUAUUAAAAAGGUUAUAAAAUGGUGUGUAUUAUGUGAUCUCAAUUUUGCUUUUUUAGAUAUGGGCGUAUACUUAUAAGAGUUUAAAAAGACUGCAGACAAAUUGUUAAUAAUAAUGGUUAUCUUAGGAUGAUGGAAUAAAGUCGUUGUAAUUUUCCUGUUUGGUUUUCUGUAGUUGCCAGAUUUUCUACAUUAAUCAUGUAUGGCUUUCAUAUAAUAAAUAAGAUUUAAAAGAA